UAAUACCAGCACCCCGAGUGGUCGGGACGUUUAUUGGGCCUAAAGCAUCCGUAGCCGGUUCUACAAGUCUUCCGUUAAAUCCACCUGCUUAACAGAUGGGCUGCGGAAGAUACUAUAGAGCUAGGAGGCGGGAGAGGCAAGCGGUACUCGAUGGGUAGGGGUAAAAUCCGUUGAUCCAUUGAAGACCACCAGUGGCGAAGGCGGCUUGCCAGAACGCGCUCGACGGUGAGGGAUGAAAGCUGGGGGAGCAAACCGGAUUAGAUACCCGGGUAGUCCCAGCUGUAAACGAUGCAGACUCGGUGAUGAAUUGGCUUAUUGCUAAUUCAGUGCCGCAGGGAAGCCGUUAAGUUUGCCGCCUGGGGAGUACGGUCGCAAGACUGAAACU
rnacentral:rRNA from 1 species